rnacentral:rRNA from 1 species
GACGAACCGUGCGAACGUUGUUCGGAAUCACUGGGCUUAAAGGGCGCGUAGGCGGACGAUCAAGUCGGGGGUGAAAGCCUCUGGCCUAACCAGAGAAGAGCUUUCGAUACUGGUCGUCUCGAGGGAGGUAGGGGCAUGCGGAACUUCCGGUGGAGCGGUGAAAUGCGUAGAGAUCGGAAGGAACGCCGGUGGCGAAAGCGGCGUGCUGGACCUCUUCUGACGCUGAGGCGCGAAAGCCAGGGGAGCAAACGGG